CCCAUGAUCAUUUGGCUUUGGAUGUUUAGAAUAAGUGAAAUGUUUUGACAUAAUUCUAAUACUUUUUAUCCAGGAUUUACAAACAGCAACUGCCUUUCUAUGGAAGUCUGAGAAGUCUUGCAGAGAUUGAUGAGUUUUCCACAUGUGGCUGAACUGAGGAACAGAAAGUUUGGCUACUUUCAGAGGAGUAAGGAGGAAAUGGAUGAUCACAACACAAGUGGAAACAAUCUACAUGAGCCUGAGGACCCUUUGGCCCACCCACUGCACACUAUUCUGUGGAAAUUGUGAGUGGCUACUACGUUUUGGAUGAACUUCUUUAUUUGGAUGAGCUUCUUUAUUCACUGUUUAUUCUCCUCUGAGUAAAUUCUUUCUCUUAAACCUAGAAAGCAGCCAUGGGUAUGAAGCCAGUUAGGCUGCUAUCAGUAGAAGAUACUGCUGAAAAUGUUUAUUGAUAAAGGAAGAUCCUGCUGAUUAGCCAAGUGAGCCAGAAAACAAGGGCUAAUCUUGGGUACAGGACAUGGAAUUACACUAUAAACUGCAAGUUAAAUGCUAAAACAGAAAAAAAUCUCUUUGGAUCACUUAAUGAACGACUAUAUAAAACACAGAUCUUUUUAUGAAUUCAUGUAGAGUCAAGUGAUACCGAUGCACUUGCACAAAUUUUUUUUGCUUUUCCACGGCACAUAAAUAGCUCUUCGUUACUUAUCCAGCUUUUGUUCCCUGCCCUCAAUACUAUUUGAUUUCAAGAAGGAAUUCUACAUCAAGAACAAAAAGGGUCUCUACCAGCCUUUGAAAUGGAAAUGUAGAAGUCUCAGUGUGAAAUUGUAAAAGUCCUUGAUAUGCAAUCUGCUUGACCCAAAGACCAUCUGAGAAGUGCAUGUGUUGGGAACCCUGGUGAUAUAUAUACCACCAUAAAACAGCUCACUUCUACCAGUGGUCUCUGCUGUUACAAAUCACUAUGUGUUUUAAAAUAAGUGCUUUGCUCUGAUGGUGUAGAUAUGUGUAGAUUUAUUAUAAGAAAGGCAACUGGAAAUCAAAUAUUUAUUGCCUAAUUAUUCUGAAUAUUCAUGAAAUCUAAGUGAACACAUAAGGCAAUAAUAUGCUCUUAAAAAUGUGUGAAACAUCUUUUGGCUCCUUUAUGAACUCCCAAGAGCAGGACUGAUAGGGAAAAGCAUACUACUUCUUUUGUCCUAUAAUUUGUCCUGAGGAAGGUUUAGUCCCAUAAAACUAUGAGUGCUUGCCAGUGUUUUCAACUUAGGGAUGAAAAAAAAAAAACC
rnacentral:lncRNA from 1 species